rnacentral:sRNA from 1 species
UCUACAUCGUAACGGCUACAAUAUGGACAAAAAUAAAUUGUAUCAGGAUUUAUUUGCAAAAUUCAAAGCGGCAUAUCCUGAAAAAAAGCUCUCGAUGUGCAGAAUCAAACGAAAGAUUUUUAGAACGCCAUCAAAAAUCAAGAAAAUUUCAAAAUACUUCUGGAGCAAAAGUUUGCGGAAUUAUACCACAUUGAAUUGAAGAAGAAGAUCUCCUUGUUAUUUUUUUGGAGCAAAGCAGUACAGGACCCGUCAACAAAAAAGCACUCGGAAAAGGACAAAUGUACAAAUACCUCACAUUCAUCAAAAGGUGAAAGGCCCAAAAUUAGCGUCACAAGGUUUAUGGACGGUCCCCAACAGCAAUAUUUACAUCAAAUAGCGAGCACAAUCAAAGAUUCUGAGAACCAUCACUGGGGCACCGUGGUACG